UACAGAGGGUGCAAGCGUUGUUCGGAAUCACUGGGCUUAAAGGGUGCGUAGGCGGCGCGGAAAGUUGGGUGUGAAAUCCCUCGGCUCAACCGAGGAAUUGCGCCCAAAACUACCGUGCUUGAGGGAGACAGAGGUGAGCGGAACUAAGGGUGGAGCGGUGAAAUGCGUUGAUAUCCUUAGGAACACUGGUGGCGAAAGCGGCUCACUGGGUCUCUUCUGACGCUGAGGCACGAAAGCUAGGGGAGCGAACGGG
rnacentral:rRNA from 1 species